CUACGGGUGGCACCAGUGGGGAAUAUUGCACAAUGGGCGCAAGCCUGAUGCAGCCAUGCCGCGUGUAUGAAGAAGGCCUUCGGGUUGUAAAGUACUUUCAGCGGGGAGGGAGGGAGUAAAGUUAAUACCUUUGCUCAUUGACGUUACCCGCAGAAGAAGCACCGGCUAACUCCGUGCCAGCAGCCGCGGUAAUACGGAGGGUGCAAGAGUUAAUCGGAAUUACUGGGCGUAAAGCGCACGCAGGCGGUUUGUUAAGUCAGAUGUGAAAUCCCCGGGCUCAACCUGGGAACUGCAUCUGAUACUGGCAAGCUUGAGUCUCGUAGAGGGGGGUAGAAUUCCAGGUGUAGCGGUGAAAUGCGUAGAGAUCUGGAGGAAUACCGGUGGCGAAGGCGGCCCCCUGGACGAAGACUGACGCUCAGGUGCGAAAGCGUGGGGAGCAAACAGGAUUAGAUACCCCCGUAGUC
rnacentral:rRNA from 1 species